rnacentral:rRNA from 1 species
ACGGCGCACGGGUGCGUAACACGUGGCAAUCUGCCCUCUGAUGGGGAAUAACCCCGCGAAAGCGGGGCUAAUUCCGCAUAAAAUUCCGAGAACCUCGGUUUUUGGAUUCAAAGCAGCAAUGCGUCAGAGGAGGAGCCCGCGCCCGAUUAGCUAGUUGGUGAGGUAACGGCUCACCAAGGCAAUGAUCGGUAGCUGGUCUGAGAGGAUGAUCAGCCACACUGGAACUGAGACACGGUCCAGACUCCUACGGGAGGCAGCAGUGGGGAAUCUUGCACAAUGGGCGAAAGCCUGAUGCAGCGACGCCGCGUGGGGGAUGAAGCUUUUCGGAGUGUAAACCCCUUUCGACUGGGACGAUAACCCGCAAGGGAUUGACGGUACCAGUAUAAGAAGCCCCGGCUAACUACGUGCCAGCAGCCGCGGUAAGACGUAGGGGGCCAGCGUUGUUCGGAAUUACUGGGUGUAAAGGGUUCGUAGGCGGUGCGGCAAGUUGGGAGUGAAAUCUCUGGGCUUAACCCAGAGGCUGCUUCCAA